CAGCCGAUGUCGGAAUUCACCAAGCGUUGGAUUGUUCACCCACUAAUAGGGAACGUGAGCUGGGAUUAGACCGUCGUGAGACAGGUU
rnacentral:ncRNA from 1 species